rnacentral:tRNA from 1 species
CGGGAUAGCUCAGCUGGUAAAGCAAAGGACUGAA